rnacentral:rRNA from 1 species
GAUAGCUGGUUUCUCAGGAAAAGAAUUUAAGUCCAACCUAAAGUAAUCUCGAUUCACAUAAAUCACCCCACCACUUUAGAGCAAUUCAAAUGAGGUACAGCCCAUUUGAUACAGGAUACAACCUUAACUAACGGGUAACAUUAAAUCUACACCUUCAAGUAGGCCUAAAAGCAGCCACCCUUAAAAGCGUCAAAGCUUAAUCAUGUUUACAUCAAUUUAAAAUCUCCCAUUGACCCCUUUAACUUUACUGAGAAUUUCUAUAUCAUAUAGAACAUUUUAUGCUAAGACUAGUAACAAGAGAAAACCCUCUCCCAAUGCAAACACAAGCCAGCAAGAACCCAUCACUGGCAACUAACAGACCUAGACAAAAGUAGCAACAUCACUAGAAAACCCUACUUCUCACAACUGUUAACCUAACACCAGAGCAUUUCAGGGAAGAUUAAAAGAAAAAGAAGGAACUCGGCAAACACCAAUCCCGCCUGUUUACCAAAAACAUCGCCUCUUGUUACUAUAAGAGGUCAAGCCUGCCCAGUGACUUUGUUCAACGGCCGCGGUAUCCUAACCGUGCGAAGGUAGCGUAAUCACUUGUUUUCUAAAUAAAGACCAGUAUGAAAGGCAUCACGAGGAUUAAACUGUCUCCUUUUUCCAAUCAGUGAACCUAAUCUCCCCGUGAAGAAGCGGGGAUUAUUCUAUAAGACGAGAAGACCCUAUGGAGCUUAAAACAUUAUUACAUCUGCCACCAAACCCCCAACCACUCAGGUAUUUACCCAAGUAGCACUUUGAUUUUAUGUUUUCGGUUGGGGUGACCGCGGAGAAAAACUAAUCCUCCACGAUGAAAGGGGGUUCCCCCCCAAACAAUAAGCUACAUCUUUAUGUAUCAAUAAAUUGACAUCCAUUGACCCAAUAAUUUGAUUAACGAACCAAGUUACCCUAGGGAUAACAGCGCAAUCCACUUUAAGAGCCCCUAUCGACAAGUGGGCUUACGACCUCGAUGUUGGAUCGGGGUACCCCGGUGGUGUAGUAGCUACUAAAGGUUCGUUUGUUCAACGAUUAAAACCCCACGUGAUCUGAGUUCAGACCGGAGCAAUCCAGGUCAGUUUCUAUCUAUAAGAGAGCUCUUUUCAGUACGAAAGGACCAAAAUAGCAUGGCCAAUACCUCCCACAAGCCAUAGUUAAUAAUUUUAGACCUCAACUCAAAAAAUCACUAACCUUGCCUCUCACCU